rnacentral:rRNA from 1 species
GGUGUGAAUAUUGCCACAAUGGGCGAAAGCCUGAUGCAGCAACGCCGCGUGAGUGAUGAAGGCCUUCGGGUCGUAAAGCUCUUUGAUCAGGGAUGAUAAUGACAGUACCUGAAAAACAAGCCACGGCUAACUACGUGCCAGCAGCCGCGGUAAAUAUAAAU